AUACGGAGGGUGCUAGCGUUAUUCGGAAUCACUGGGCGUAAAGGACGCGUAGGCGGGUUUGUAAGUCAGGUGUGAAAUCCUACAGCUUAACUGUAGAACUGCACUUGAAACUACAGACCUAGAGUAUGGGAGGGGCAGAUGGAAUUAGUGGUGUAGGGGUAAAAUCCGUAGAUAUCACUAGGAAUACCGAAAGCGAAGGCGAUCUGCUGGAACAUAACUGACGCUAAGGCGUGAAAGCGUGGGGAGCAAACAGGAUUAGAAACCCUAGUAGUCC
rnacentral:rRNA from 1 species